UUUCCGUUGGUGAACCAGCGGAAGGAUCAUUACAGAGAUCAUGCCCUCUAAGGGUAGACCUCCCACCCUGUGUUAAUACUCUUGUUGCUUUGGCAGGCCGCCUUCGGGCUCUCGGCUCCGGCUGAGGUGCGCCUGCCAGAGGACCCCAACUCUGUGUUUAGUGUCGUCUGAGUACUAUAUAAUAAGUUAAAACUUUCAGCAACGGAUCUCUUGGCUCUCCCAUCGAUGAAGAACGCAGC
rnacentral:misc_RNA from 1 species